GACUGAGCUGAUGCCAAGCUGUGCCC
rnacentral:piRNA from 1 species